rnacentral:rRNA from 1 species
CGCGGCCUAUCAGCUUGUUGGUGAGGUAACGGCUCACCAAGGCGUCGACGGGUAGCUGGUCUGAGAGGACGACCAGCCACACUGGGACUGAGACACGGCCCAGACUCCUACGGGAGGCAGCAGUGGGGAAUCUUGCGCAAUGGGCGAAAGCCUGACGCAGCAACGCCGCGUGCGGGAUGAAGGCUCUCGGGUUGUAAACCGCUUUCAGUAGGGACGAAAUUGACGGUACCUACAGAAGAAGCACCGGCCAACUACGUGCCAGCAGCCGCGGUAAUACGUAGGGUGCAAGCGUUGUCCGGAUUUAUUGGGCGUAAAGAGCUCGUAGGCGGCUUGGUAAGUCGGAAGUCAAAACAGCAGGCUCAACCUGCUGUCGCUUCCGAUACUGCUAUGGCUUGAGUUUGGUAGGGGAUGACGGAAUUCCUGGUGUAGCGGUGAAAUGCGCAGAUAUCAGGAGGAACACCGGUGGCGAAGGCGGUCAUCUGGGCCAAUACUGACGCUGAGGAGCGAAAGCGUGGGGAGCGAACAGGAUUAGAUACCCUGGUAGUCCACGCCGUAAACGGUGGGAACUAGGUGUGGGGACCUAUCAACGGUUUCCGUGCCGCAGCUAACGCAUUAAGUCCCCGCCUGGGAGUACG